rnacentral:tRNA from 1 species
AUUAAAUUAGUUAAUUAUAUAAACAUUAAAUUGUAAAUUUAAAAUUUUAAUUUAAUUAAUUUAACU